rnacentral:rRNA from 1 species
CCUACGGGUGGCAGCAGUGAGGAAUAUUGGUCAAUGGGCUCAAGCCUGAACCAGCCAAGUAGCGUGAAGGAUGACUGCCCUACGGGUUGUAAACUUCUUUUAUAAGGGAAUAAAGUGAGGCACGUGUGCCUUUUUGUAUGUAUUUUAUGAAUAAGGAUCGGCGAACUCCGUGCCAGCAGCCGCGGUAAUACGGAGGAUCCGAGCGUUAUCCGGAUUUAUUGGGUUUAAAGGGAGCGUAGAUGGGUUGGUAAGUCAGGUGUGAAAGUUUGCGGCUCAACCGUAAAAUUGCAAUUGAUACUGGCAGCCUUGAGUACAGUAGAGGUAGGCGGAAUUCGUGGUGUAGCGGUGAAAUGCUUAGAUAUCACGAAGAACUCCGAUUGCGAAGGCAGCCUACUAGACUGCCACUGACACUGAGGCUCGAAAGUGUGGGUAUCAAACAGGAUUAGAUACCCGAGUAGUC